rnacentral:rRNA from 1 species
UUACCAAAACACUUUCCUUACAGCUAAUUAAACAUCAGCCAACAAUACCUGCGAACAACCCCCACCUCCUUUUACCGCAAGGGAUAAAUUUAUUUACCUAAAGUCAAGACCUCACUUGUACCUUUUGCAUCAUGGCCUAGCAAAACACCUGUUAUAUCACCAACCCGAAUCAUUCGCGAGCUAAAUCUAUUUUGGCUAAAGGCCCAAAGAUUGGUGUUGCACCACCAUCCCUAAAAAUAAUUUUAGAGGCUACAUACCCCCCGCGCAAUGAUAGCUGGUUCUUCUCUAUUUUAUCUAAGUAACCCAUUCAAGAUACCCUUUAUACCCCCAUUCUUGAACUUUACUCCUUGAAGGACAAGCUUCUAGGAAUUAUUAAUUUAAUUAUUAAACCAAACCUUAGAAAGGCCUAAAAUAAGCCUUCUCUAAACAACAGUUACAUUUCAUCCCUCAACCUAAUAAAAAUAAUAAACUAAAAUAACCUCACAGAGAAGAAAUCGAUUAAACCAUUAUAAAUCUCUCCUACACUGCUAGGAUAAGUAUCAGUACCUACACCCCCCAACCCAUAUAUCAUAAACCACCACAGUACGCCCCAUAUCUUUGUAAGGAACUCUGCAACCCCUUAGCCCGACUGUUUACCAAAGACAUUGCCUUCUGACCUUCCCAUAGAAGGUUAAUCCUGCCCAGUGAAAUUUUAACGGCCGCGGUACCCUGACCGUGCAAAGGUAGCAUAAUAAUUUGCCUCCUAAUUAGAGGCUAGAAUGAACGGAUAAACGAGGCUAUUACUGUCUCACAAAGACCCCUAUAAAUUAGCUUCCAGGUGAAGAGACCUGAAUUUCAUUAAAAGACAAGAAGACCCUAUUGAGUUUCAUUUGUAUAUAAUUUUCUUAUUUAUCAAAUUUUGUUGGGGCGACCAAAGAGAAAAAAAAUCCUCUUUAACUACAAAGAAAUCUAUUCUAUUUUAUUGAACCUAAACUGAUCAACGGAAUAAACUACCAUAGGGAUAACAGGCUUAUCUUCUUUGAGAGCUCAAAUUGACAAGAAGGUCUGGCACCUCGAUGUUGGCUUAGGGUACCCCCUAAAUGUAGCAGUUUAGUAAGGUUAGUUUGUUCAACUAUUAAAACCCUACAUGAGCUGAGUUCAGACCGGCGCAAGCCAGGUUAGUUUCUAUCUUUAAAUAACCCUUAUCAAGUAGUACGAAAGGACCCUCAGAUAAUGAACCAUUCAACCCUAAGAAUAAAUAUAAAAUCAAUUAACCUAAUACCUUCCU